GGUCAAGUGAAGAAGCGCAUACGGUGGAUGCCUUGGCAGUCAGAGGCGAUGAAAGACGUGGUAGCCUGCGAAAAGCUUCGGGGAGUCGGCAAACAGACUUUGAUCCGGAGAUCUCUGAAUGGGGGAACCCACCUAGGAUAACCUAGGUAUCUUGUACUGAAUCCAUAGGUGCAAGAGGCGAACCAGGGGAACUGAAACAUCUAAGUACCCUGAGGAAAAGAAAUCAACCGAGAUUCCCUUAGUAGUGGCGAGCGAACGGGGAUUAGCCCUUAAGCUUCAUUGAUUUUAGCGGAACGCUCUGGAAAGUGCGGCCAUAGUGGGUGAUAGCCCCGUACGCGAAAGGAUCUUUGAAGUGAAAUCGAGUAGGACGGAGCACGAGAAACUUUGUCUGAACAUGGGGGGACCAUCCUCCAAGGCUAAAUACUACUGACUGACCGAUAGUGAACCAGUACCGUGAGGGAAAGGCGAAAAGAACCCCGGAGAGGGGAGUGAAAUAGAACCUGAAACCGUAUGCGUACAAGCAGUGGGAGCCUACUUGUUAGGUGACUGCGUACCUUUUGUAUAAUGGGUCAGCGACUUAUAUUCAGUGGCAAGCUUAACCGUAUAGGGUAGGCGUAGCGAAAGCGAGUCUUAAUAGGGCGUUUAGUCGCUGGGUAUAGACCCGAAACCGGGCGAUCUAUCCAUGAGCAGGUUGAAGGUUAGGUAACACUGACUGGAGGACCGAACCCACUCCCGUUGAAAAGGUAGGGGAUGACUUGUGGAUCGGAGUGAAAGGCUAAUCAAGCUCGGAGAUAGCUGGUUCUCCUCGAAAGCUAUUUAGGUAGCGCCUCAUGUAUCACUCUGGGGGGUAGAGCACUGUUUCGGCUAGGGGGUCAUCCCGACUUACCAAACCGAUGCAAACUCCGAAUACCCAGAAGUGCCGAGCAUGGGAGACACACGGCGGGUGCUAACGUCCGUCGUGAAAAGGGAAACAACCCAGACCGCCAGCUAAGGUCCCAAAGUUGUGGUUAAGUGGUAAACGAUGUGGGAAGGCUUAGACAGCUAGGAGGUUGGCUUAGAAGCAGCCAUCCUUUAAAGAAAGCGUAAUAGCUCACUAGUCGAGUCGGCCUGCGCGGAAGAUGUAACGGGGCUCAAACCACACACCGAAGCUGCGGGUGUCACGUAAGUGACGCGGUAGAGGAGCGUUCUGUAAGCCUGUGAAGGUGAGUUGAGAAGCUUGCUGGAGGUAUCAGAAGUGCGAAUGCUGACAUGAGUAACGACAAUGGGUGUGAAAAACACCCACGCCGAAAGACCAAGGGUUCCUGCGCAACGUUAAUCGACGCAGGGUUAGUCGGUUCCUAAGGCGAGGCUGAAAAGCGUAGUCGAUGGGAAACAGGUUAAUAUUCCUGUACUUCUGGUUACUGCGAUGGAGGGACGGAGAAGGCUAGGCCAGCUUGGCGUUGGUUGUCCAAGUUUAAGGUGGUAGGCUGAAAUCUUAGGUAAAUCCGGGGUUUCAAGGCCGAGAGCUGAUGACGAGUCGUCUUUUAGAUGACGAAGUGGUUGAUGCCAUGCUUCCAAGAAAAGCUUCUAAGCUUCAGGUAACCAGGAACCGUACCCCAAACCGACACAGGUGGUCGGGUAGAGAAUACCAAGGCGCUUGAGAGAACUCGGGUGAAGGAACUAGGCAAAAUGGCACCGUAACUUCGGGAGAAGGUGCGCCGGCUAGGGUGAAGGAUUUACUCCGUAAGCUCUGGCUGGUCGAAGAUACCAGGCCGCUGCGACUGUUUAUUAAAAACACAGCACCCUGCAAACACGAAAGUGGACGUAUAGGGUGUGACGCCUGCCCGGUGCCGGAAGGUUAAUUGAUGGGGUUAGCGCAAGCGAAGCUCUUGAUCGAAGCCCCGGUAAACGGCGGCCGUAACUAUAACGGUCCUAAGGUAGCGAAAUUCCUUGUCGGGUAAGUUCCGACCUGCACGAAUGGCGUAACGAUGGCGGCGCUGUCUCCACCCGAGACUCAGUGAAAUUGAAAUCGCUGUGAAGAUGCAGUGUAUCCGCGGCUAGACGGCAAGACCCCGUGAACCUUUACUGUAGCUUUGCACUGGACUUUGAGCCUGCUUGUGUAGGAUAGGUGGGAGGCUUUGAAGCGUGGACGCCAGUUCGCGUGGAGCCAUCCUUGAAAUACCACCCUGGCAUGCUUGAGGUUCUAACUCUGGUCCGUAAUCCGGAUCGAGGACAGUGUAUGGUGGGCAGUUUGACUGGGGCGGUCUCCUCCUAAAGAGUAACGGAGGAGUACGAAGGUGCGCUCAGACCGGUCGGAAAUCGGUCGCAGAGUAUAAAGGCAAAAGCGCGCUUGACUGCGAGACAGACACGUCGAGCAGGUACGAAAGUAGGUCUUAGUGAUCCGGUGGUUCUGUAUGGAAGGGCCAUCGCUCAACGGAUAAAAGGUACUCCGGGGAUAACAGGCUGAUACCGCCCAAGAGUUCAUAUCGACGGCGGUGUUUGGCACCUCGAUGUCGGCUCAUCACAUCCUGGGGCUGAAGCCGGUCCCAAGGGUAUGGCUGUUCGCCAUUUAAAGUGGUACGCGAGCUGGGUUUAGAACGUCGUGAGACAGUUCGGUCCCUAUCUGCCGUGGACGUUUGAGAUUUGAGAGGGGCUGCUCCUAGUACGAGAGGACCGGAGUGGACGAACCUCUGGUGUUCCGGUUGUCACGCCAGUGGCAUUGCCGGGUAGCUAUGUUCGGAAAAGAUAACCGCUGAAAGCAUCUAAGCGGGAAACUUGCCUCAAGAUGAGAUCUCACUGGGAACUUGAUUCCCCUGAAGGGCCGUCGAAGACUACGACGUUGAUAGGCUGGGUGUGUAAGCGUUGUGAGGCGUUGAGCUAACCAGUACUAAUUGCCCGUGAGGCUUGACCAU
rnacentral:rRNA from 1 species